AGAAAGGAGAUGUAUCCUCUGGCAGCAUCUUGCUCUGUCCAUUUUUGCCCGUUAGCAGAAUUACCCACCUGGUGAGGAGCACAUUGGAGAAAUCCGUGGUACAUUUAGAUGGGAGGGGUGAACAAACGAGAAUCCACUAUACUGAGAGACAGUGUACACAUUUCAUAAAUUCUGUACCCAUGAUACUAAAAAAAGCACAAUUAUUAAGGCCUCAGUAGCCUCUUCCAUGACGCGUAGUACGCCUGAUAAGUAAGAAGGCAAAGUCACAGUGUGACCCAACCGAUCCACGAGAUCUUCAGUGAGUCAACGCAAUAGGCAAAUUUCAGAAGUGGAAAUAACAGAAUCCACUCUGGUUAGUUUAAGCAUGACAUGGAUUUGUUAGAGAACAUUGGGAAUCUCACAGAAUCUCUGAAGAGAAUCUAAUUUACCUGGCAUACCUUUGGUGAGAGGAAACUCAAUCACAUUUGCCGUGUUCUACUUUCUACUUAUUGAAAUUCUGUGCUCAUUUUGGGUGCAAAUCAAGUCUCACUUCCUCCCGGAAACCUCUUCUGGCUCUCUCAGUCCUGACUCAUCUCACAGAAGUCUGGUACUUAGAGAUGUAAGAGGCUUCAGAGACAUUCAAUCCAACCUUGCACGCAGUGGGACCUGGAGUAUCCCAGGAAGAAUGUCAUUCGGCUUCUGCUUACCUUCACCUAGAGAAGGACAGAGCUUUGCCUGCCAGCAGAGGAACCUCCUCAGAUGACUUCCUCUUACCCUCGUAACUUCCCCUCAGAUGGGUCAGGAGACAGGAGGCUUCCUUUGCUUCAAGGGAAUCUGUCAUGGUAGAACCAGGUAAGCAAGUGUUAAAAGAAACGAGAUGCAGACUGGUGUCUACUCGAUGUACAUGUUUCAGAAGCUUUUGUGGAACAUCAAUGUACUUGCUCAUGAAGCCUUCUCUAUUCCCUUGUUACCACAUGAAUGAUUUGGGGGAAAAUAAGAUCCCUGAAAUUGAGUAUACUUACAUAAUUAAUUGA
rnacentral:lncRNA from 1 species